ACAAUGCAUGCUUUUACUUUGGUGUCUGGUAUUACUGUAUUCUCGUGCUGUCACAGGGAAGUGUUUUAUUAUAAUCGGUGAAAAGGGAGGGGGAUAGGCCUUCUUGGGCCAUGCAUCUAGUAAAUGAAUAGCUUUUGGCUGUAGGUCAAUGAAUAGCAUGAGUAUACGCAGUUACGAAGUCACCAUUAACAAAUAAAGCUGGUAGAGUUUCAAUGUACCCAUCGGAAUUUUUGAAAGCCUAUUUUCCAGGCAGUUCAAACAGAGGUGAGGCAGCUCAGGUUGGCGGGGCUGCCGGGAACACCCAGUUCUGAGUUUGCCCCUGACUCAGUGCAUGACCUUCGGCAAACCACUCAACUUCUCACUAUCUCGGCUUCCUUGGCAAUAAAAUGGGGAUAACAGACCUUAGCCACCUUACAAGAGUGUGACGAAGAGUAAUAAAUGUCUGCAAAACGCUUUCAAGAUAAGUGCUCCUGAAAACUGGGGGUUGGGGGGGGCAGGAGAAGUUCUCUUCCAAGAGUUUAGAGGAAAAAUGAGAUUUUCAAAAUUAAAGUAGGACACUUCAGCUUCUGAGAGCCAAGAGCUUUGUAAAAACAGAAAGGAUUGUGGAUGAUACAGAACCUACAGAUUGCUAAAGACUUUCAUGAUCAGUACUAGAGCGGGACCAUAGAGGCAACGUCUACUGGGACAGAAGGGCUGCCUCAUAGCUAACCAGCUGUCAUUGGCCCUUAGAGGCUGAAAGAGAUCCUGACGUUUCUAAAGAAAGUUGAAGAAAACCCUGGGAUACACCUUACUGUACCUGGAGCAGACCACUGGGGAUAGAAGACAUGCUCCGCGCUGCUCUGGACAUUUGGAGUGGACACUAGCUCAAAACCACAGAGCCCUGAGUUUGACCCUAGCACUCUGUGGCUACUGAUGACUCAUCCCGAUAAUUAUCAGAUUGAAUCUUCUCUACUGGUUUGGUAAUAACAAUGAGUGGAAAAAGAACUUCAAUCAGAUGUUCAUGCCUAAUAAUCGGUCUCCUGAUUGCCUUUGUAGACUCAUGGUUCUCUUCUUUUUCCUGGUCAUGGAAAUCUUCACAUCAGUAUAUAAAGAGUUGCCUCAUCCUUUUUGACAGCUGCAUAAUGUUCCAUUAUAGAGCUGUAGCCCCAAUUCACAGAUUUCCUAUUGAUCUUAUGGGACAAAUGCUGCUGGGAACUAGAGCUUACAGCUCACGUGGAGGAGAUGGCUGAUGCCUCCCGGGCUCCCUCCCCUCCUGGCACCCACCUGCCAGUUCCCUUCGACAAUAGCCUGGGAAAGCAGUAUGUAUCCAGGAAAUCCCAGCUCUACCGAGAAGAGAAGUGAGAACAUUUCCGAGGGAAAGGUCAGAGGGAGGCUUCGGUAGGCAUGAAGCGUACUGGAAUUUGGCCUACAGUGGACAAAAACACAGAUCUUCGUCGCUACAAAAAAUAUCCCUUGAUGUUGCCCCAUCCAUUCAAGCCAAACCUCAGAGAGCCCCAGGAAGAAGAACUCAUAGAUGUUUACAGUGCUGGUCAGCAUUGUUUAAAAGGUAGGAUGGCACAGGUCAGAAAGUCCUAUGAUGGCGCUCUGAACUAAUACUCAACCUGUAAAAGCAAAUGUCAUAUUAUAAUUCCUUAGUUGCAGGCUUAGGAAAAAGAACAACCAAAAUUUUUGCCAGUUGGGAGAUGAAAAUGACAUGGAAAGGAGGCCACUGUAUCUAGCUUCUCCAGAGUGGACAAUCCAAGAGAGAGCCAGACAGAAGCCACAGCAUCUUUUACAGCUCAGCGCUGGACAUCAUGGCCAUACCUUUCUGCAGUGUCUGCUGGUUACACAGGUCAUCCCCAUUCUGUGCCACAGCAGAGCACAUACAGGUGGAAACAUUGGGAAGUGGGAAUUUGGGGGGCUAUCUUGGAGGGUGGCCACUGCAAUGAUAGAGACAUUUCUGUGCAUACAUGAUGGAGAAGAGAUUCAUGUGUUGGCUGAGUGAUUGAUUUUUUUAAAAAGAUUUUAUUUAU